rnacentral:rRNA from 1 species
GGUGAGUUGUUACACACUCCUUAGCGGAUUUCGACUUCCAUGACCACCGUCCUGCUGUCUGUAUGCAUCAACACCUUUUGAGGGAUCUAGAUGAGCGAAUAGUUUGGCACCGUAACUCAACGUCCGGUUCAUCCCGCAUCGCCAGUUCUGCUUACCAAAAAUGGCCCACUAAGAACUUCCAUUCAAUGUCUCGGUUCAAUUAAGUAACACAAGACUUCUUACCUAUUUAAAGUUUGAGAAUACGUCAAGCUAGUUUCUAGCCCGGAACGUCUAAUCAUUAGCUUUACCUGAUAAAACUGUAUAAGUUCCAGCUAUCCUGAGGGAAACUUCGGAGGGAACCAGCUACUAGAUAGUUCGAUUAGUCUUUCGCCCCUAUACCCAAGUUCGACGAUCAAUUUGCACGUUAGAAUCGCUGCGGACCUCCACCA